rnacentral:rRNA from 1 species
UACAGGGGGGGCAAGCGUUGUUCGGAAUUACUGGGCGUAAAGGGCCAGUAGGCGGCCAACUAAGUCCGACGUGAAAUCCCCAGGCUUAACCUGGGAACUGCGUCGGAUACUGGAUGGCUUGAAUUCGGGAGAGGGAUGCAGAAUUCCAGGUGUAGCGGUGAAAUGCGUAGAGACCGGGAAGAACACCAGUGGCGAAGGCGGCUACCUGGACAGGUACUGACGCUGAAGCGCGAAAGCUAGGGGAGCAAACAGG